UUUACAAUACCUUGUAUUUCCUGGCUACAUUAAUCCACAUCUUCAACGUACCAUUAAGUCUUCUAUGCGUGACCGUUCCUGCACAGAGCGCUUCUGCGCUGGCAUGAAGUGAUCGCUGCCCAGAUAAUCGGUACCUCGCUGUUAGCCAUACCGAUCAAGCAGGAUACAUAAGUGGGACGAGCCCUGUAGCAACAGUAAUCAGACCAUCCGGGGCCGUAGCUACAAGUAUGGCGAAGCAUAAGACACGUGCGCAGAAGCAUAUGACGGAACUUGAGGAGGCGCUCAAAAUUGCAACGGUGUAAAAUGCUUCUUUUUGGGAGGUCUCCGUCUCUGGAAAGCGCGUCCUAAUUGAUCAGCCCGCAGAGAUGUAUAUUGCCCAUCAGCUCUUACUGACAAAGAUUUUUUUGAUUACAUCCCCCUUUCGUUGAGAGGCAAGGUAUCCAUAUCCAAGUGAUGGCAUUGUUAGCUGCUUGGGGGUUAAUCCACACUCACUGCGACCAGAUAACCACUAUUUAGUAAUGGCAGUCAGUCACCUAUCAGGAAUGCAUCGUAUCUAUUCAUACUGUGGUACUAGGUAUCUUCGUGGUCAAUUUCGUAGGUUCCUCUCCCCCUACACAGUAACAAGAAAUUAGUUGGGCGAUAUCAACCACAACAGGAUGUGCAUGACCUUUUGGUAUCAUCCUGUCAGUUCUGGGAGGAUACAACAACAAACGAGUAACUGUUUUUGGGGCCUGACAAACUCAUCUAAGCCACAGCAGGUCGAUUAAUGAGAGAAAUUGAAAGUCGUGGGGUUGGUGACCCAGGGACAUUCGAGAUCAGCGAUGUAAGAGGCUUUAGAACAUGCAAAGCUCUCCUAGAGAAAUCAAUACCUAACUCACUAGCUGUGCCUCUGGUCGGCCCAUAUCGCACGGACCUCCUCGAAGCUCUCUCCAUCUCAUAGAAUACCACUGAAUGACCUGUCGUUCUCGUGGCGACCUAAGAUAAUACCCGCCGUUAGCACUUUAAGUCAUGGCGGCCGAUGCCUAGAUACCUUCCGCUUACAAAGUUCUGCCCGAGAAUGAACGCUGCUUCAUUAAUCCCAUGAAAUAUUGUACUUCGCUCAACCAUGUUCUCAACCCCAUCAACCCUUGUACUACUGCCAAUGGCUCUAGUAGUCUGCUCAACCAGCUCAUAUGCCUCCGCCGAUACUGGAGCUCUCUUUAACCUUGACAGCUCCAUCUGUGCGGCCGCUAGUGACGUAGUCGCCAUUUUGACCUGGGAUACCGAGAAAUGCCCCAUGGGCUUGGGAGAAGAAAACAUCAUCUUGUUAUCUGGUUGUGAAAGAGCGGAGUGACUGGAUAUUAAGCUAGAACUCCUCAAUUAUAUAAUGGAAUAUAUUUGGCCGUAAGAGCUGUCGAACGGCAAACUGGUUAGAGGCCUUGAGCUUCUGUCUUGACUCUUCGUCUGAAAAGCUCCGCUUCACAGCAAAUGAACUCAAGGUAGUUGGGGAUAAUUUGAGUAUGCUUUGUGGAAGAGGAAAUCACUCUUUUUAUUCUGUUGUGGGCUUCAAGCCUCCCUGUUUUUAGAAAUCAAUUUUGAGUCUCCGCUUUGUGGGUUUUUAAUAUGGUAUUGGGAGGUGAAGUUUUGAAUAGUUGAUGAACUAUAUAAGUAGAAGGUCGAGCUUACCAGCUCACGCUAUAUUAGCUGCACAUCAUCACAGAGAGAGUCGUAUGAAAG
rnacentral:sRNA from 1 species